rnacentral:lncRNA from 1 species
GGUAAGUUCGAUUUUGUGUUUGGACUAGGGUUCUACUUUGAACCCCCAAACGCUCAGACUCAUUCUGAGCCUAUAGAUUGGACCUGGACCUUUUUAUGACUGUUUCUAUGAUAAUCUUUUCUAACCAGCAUGACAACUCUCACUUGUUGAUAUUUGUGUGCUUUAUAUAUGAGAAGUUCUACUUGUUUGUUUCCCUGAAAUUGGUAUGUUCUAAUUUAACUUUUCAGAUUCACCCCUAUAUAUGUACUUUAUAGUUUCAACGUUCUUGUUUACUUUGUUGUUAUGCUCAAUAUUGACUAUGCAUGUUCUUCUCUCUGCAUCUGCUAUUUGUUGUGAAUCCCCCAUACCCCUACUCCCUUCUAUGUGUUUGAGUUGAGAUUCAUGGCCUGGCAGUAUCCAAAUUACUGAUCAGGUCUGCACCUGACCCUCAAUGGGUCCUAACUCCCAAAUUUGGCUAACAGGCUGGUCAGGGGUGUGCCAGCACUUCUAAUUGCUGGGCAUGACCACCAGCCUGCCAGGACCUUCCCAGAAUCCAUUCUAUUGCACUUAUGCUCAUUCCUAAUUUCUAAGUUCUGCCCCCCUCCUAUGAGCCUUACUUUGGGACCUUGAGUUCCCUCUGAACUUGGACAUUUCAGGGCUGGCCCUUCCACACUGC